UCAUCUGAGAUCACCUGCAAAGUCACCCACAGGGCCCUGGCAGACCCCCUGAAAACAACCAUGAAUCUCUCCCAAGUGCUCCGAGUUGUCCCCACCCUGAAGAUCACCACUGAACCCUCUGGGACCCAUGUACAUGUGCAAGACAGAGUGAAUCUCACCUGCCAUGUCCUCCACUUCUAUCCCACCCACCUGCGACUCACCUGGAUGGAGAACAGGCGCAUGAUCCAGACCCUGGUGUCCCCUCAGGUCACCAGAAAUCCAGAUGGGACAUACUCUCUGGAGCACACGUGGCAGGCAGAGGCCACGCUGGAGGAGCGUGAGUUUGCUUGCUGGGUGGUCCACGAUGAGCAGCCCCCACUCAAGACCAACGUCGCCCUGCAAGCCCGGCUGCACAGGCAGGGGAAAGGGACAUGGAUAAAGCUGGAAGCCAUCAUCCUCAGCAGACUAAUGCAGGAAGAGAAACUCAAACACUGCAUGUUCUCACUCAUAAGUGGGAGCUGAACAAUGAGAACACAUGGACACAUGGAGGACAACAACACACACCAAGGCCUGUUGCAGCGGGCCAGAGUGUCCAGCCUUACAAGUUGCAAGGCCCCCUUCAGCGAUCUGAGCCCGGCACAAGGAUCCGAUUGACCUACACAUCCUCUGGGUUCUCGACACACCAGGUUACUGUGACCUGGCUUAAAAACAAACACGAGCUCCCAAACCCCCAGACCAGCGUCCAGUACAGUGGACACAC
rnacentral:sRNA from 1 species